rnacentral:rRNA from 1 species
GACGAACGCUGGCGGCGUGCUUAACACAUGCAAGUCGAACGGAAAGGCCCUGCUUUUGUGGGGUGCUCGAGUGGCGAACGGGUGAGUAACACGUGAGUAACCUGCCCUUGACUUUGGGAUAACUUCAGGAAACUGGGGCUAAUACCGGAUAGGAGCUCCUGCUGCAUGGUGGGGGUUGGAAAGUUUCGGCGGUUGGGGAUGGACUCGCGGCUUAUCAGCUUGUUGGUGGGGUAGUGGCUUACCAAGGCUUUGACGGGUAGCCGGCCUGAGGGGGUGACCGGCCACAUUGGGACUGAGAUACGGCCCAGACUCCUACGGGAGGCAGCAGUGGGGAAUAUUGCACAAUGGGCGGAAGCCUGAUGCAGCAACGCCGCGUGCGGGAUGACGGCCUUCGGGUUGUAAACCGCUUUCGCCUGUGACGAAGCGUGAGUGACGGUAAUGGGUAAAGAAGCACCGGCUAACUACGUGCCAGCAGCCGCGGUGAUACGUAGGGUGCGAGCGUUGUCCGGAUUUAUUGGGCGUAAAGGGCUCGUAGGUGGUUGAUCGCGUCGGAAGUGUAAUCUUGGGGCUUAACCCUGAGCGUGCUUUCGAUACGGGUUGACUUGAGGAAGGUAGGGGAGAAUGGAAUUCCUGGUGGAGCGGUGGAAUGCGCCAGAUAUCAGGAGGAACACCAGUGGCGAAGGCGGUUCUCUGGGCUUUUCCUGACGCUGAGGAGCGAAAGCGUGGGGAGCGAACAGGCUUAGAUACCCUGGUAGUCCACGCUGUAAACGGUGGGUACUAGGUGUGGGGUCCAUUCCACGGGUUCCGUGCCGUAGCUAACGCUUUAAGUACCCCGCCUGGGGAGUACGGCCGCAAGGCUAAAACUCAAAGGAAUUGACGGGGCCCCGCACAAGCGGCGGAGCAUGCGGAUUAAUUCGAUGCAACGCGUAGAACCUUACCUGGGUUUGACAUGGAUCGGGAGCGCUCAGAGAUGGGUGUGCCUCUUUUGGGGUCGGUUCACAGGUGGUGCAUGGCUGUCGUCAGCUCGUGUCGUGAGAUGUUGGGUUAAGUCCCGCAACGAGCGCAACCCUUGUUCACUGUUGCCAGCACGUUAUGGUGGGGACUCAGUGGAGACCGCCGGGGUCAACUCGGAGGAAGGUGGGGAUGACGUCAAGUCAUCAUGCCCCUUAUGUCCAGGGCUUCACGCAUGCUACAAUGGCUGGUACAGAGAGUGGCGAGCCUGUGAGGGUGAGCGAAUCUCGGAAAGCCGGUCUCAGUUCGGAUUGGGGUCUGCAACUCGACCUCAUGAAGUCGGAGUCGCUAGUAAUCGCAGAUCAGCAACGCUGCGGUGAAUACGUUCCCGGGGCU